UACGGAGGAUGCAAGCGUUAUCCGGAAUGAUUGGGCGUAAAGCGUCCGCAGGUGGCUGUGUAAGUCUGCUGUUAAAGUGUGAGGCUCAACCUCAUAAAGGCAGUGGAAACUACAUGGCUAGAGUGCGUUCGGGGCAGAGGGAAUUCCUGGUGUAGCGGUGAAAUGCGUAGAGAUCAGGAAGAACACCGGUGGCGAAAGCGCUCUGCUAGGCCGCAACUGACACUGAGGGACGAAAGCUAGGGGAGCGAAUGGG
rnacentral:rRNA from 1 species